CUAUUUAGGGUUGUCAAAAUUCAGGGACAAAAAUUAUCUGUGGUUGUGCACGCAAAGGGACGUCAAGUUGUGCCAACCCUAAUAAUUACUCGGAGCAAUGCCGAGUCGAACGGAGCCGAAAAAGCCCGAAUGCUCUAGUUUCCUCCCCCUCCUUAAACAUUC